GACGAACGCUGGCGGCGUGCUUAACACAUGCAAGUCGAACGGUAAGGCCCUUCGGGGUACACGAGUGGCGAACGGGUGAGUAACACGUGGGUGAUCUGCCCUGCACUUCGGGAUAAGCCUGGGAAACUGGGUCUCAUACCGGAUAGGACCACUGCCUGCAUGGGUGGUGGUGGAAAGCUUUUGCGGUGUGGGAUGGGCCCGCGGCCUAUCAGCUUGUUGGUGGGGUGAUGGCCUACCAAGGCGACGACGGGUAGCCGGCCUGAGAGGGUGACCGGCCACACUGGGACUGAGAUACGGCCCAGACUCCUACGGGAGGCAGCAGUGGGGAAUAUUGCACAAUGGGCGCAAGCCUGAUGCAGCGACGCCGCGUGAGGGAUGACGGCCUUCGGGUUGCAAACCUCUUUCAGCACCGACGAAGCGCAAGUGACGGUAGGUGCAGAAGAAGGACCGGCCAACUACGUGCCAGCAGCCGCGGUAA
rnacentral:rRNA from 1 species